CUGAUCAACGCUAAUCGGAUCAGGGUUAGUCGGGUCCUAAGGCUCAGCCGAACGGUGAGGCCGAUGGCAGAACAGGUUAAUAUUCCUGUACUACCUUAAGGAGUGACGUGGAGACGGAGUCGUGACAGCGCCGCGGACUGACGGAAUAGUCCGUUGAAGGGUGUAGAUGCUGAUUGUUCCAGGCAAAUCCGGAGCAAGAGUCGAACCUGAUAGUAUGGAGCGUUCUUAGAACAAUCCAAUAGUGCGUGUAAUCAUACUUCCAAGAAAAUCCGCUAAACUUAAUCCUGCAGGUACCCGUACCGCAAACGGACACACGUAGUCGGGUUGAAUAUACUAAGGCGCUUGAGUGAUUCACGGUUAAGGAACUAGGCAAAUUGACCCUGUAACUUCGGGAUAAAGGGUCCCUACUGAGAGGUAGGGCGCAGAGAAUAGGUCCAGGCAACUGUUUAACAAAAACACAUGGCUGUGCGAAAUAGAAAUAUGAAGUAUACAGCCUGACACCUGCCCGGUGCUGGAAGGUUAAGAGGAGAGCUCAUCGCAAGAGAAGGCUUGAAUUGAAGCCCCAGUAAACGGCGGCCGUAACUAUAACGGUCCUAAGGUAGCGAAAUUCCUUGUCGGGUAAGUUCCGACCUGCACGAAUGGUGUAAUGAUCUGGACACUGUCUCAACCGUGAGCUCGGUGAAAUUGUAGUAUCGGUGAAGAUGCCGAUUACCCGCGAUGGGACGAAAAGACCCCGUGAACCUUUACUAUAGCUUAACAUUGAAUUUGGGUAAUUGAUGUGUAGGAUAGGCCGGAGACUUUGAAGCAGGUACGCCAGUAUUUGUGGAGUCGCCGUUGAAAUACGGCCCUUUGGUUGUUUGAGUUCUAACCCGCAGAAGCGGGGACACUGUAUGGUGGGUAGUUUGACUGGGGUGGUCGCCUCCAAAAGAGUAACGGAGGCUUCUAAAGGUACCCUCAGACCGAUUGGUAACCGGUCGUAGAGUGUAAUGGCAUAAGGGUGCUUGACUGGGAGACAGACAAGUCGAUCAGGUAGGAAACUAGAGCAUAGUGAUCCGGUGGUUCCGCAUGGAAGGGCCAUCGCUCAAAGGAUAAAAGGUACUCCGGGGAUAACAGGCUGAUCGCUCCCAAGAGCUCAUAUCGACGGAGCGGUUUGGCACCUCGAUGUCGGCUCGUCACAUCCUGGGGCUGGAGAAGGUCCCAAG
rnacentral:rRNA from 1 species